GAUGAACGCUGGCGGCGUGCCUAAUACAUGCAAGUCGAGCGAACGGACGAGAAGCUUGCUUCUCUGAUGUUAGCGGCGGACGGGUGAGUAACACGUGGAUAACCUACCUAUAAGACUGGGAUAACUUCGGGAAACCGGAGCUAAUACCGGAUGAUAUUUUGAACCGCAUGGUUCAAAAGUGAAAGACGGUCUUGCUGUCACUUAUAGAUGGAUCCGCGCUGCAUUAGCUAGUUGGUAAGGUAACGGCUUACCAAGGCAACGAUGCAUAGCCGACCUGAGAGGGGGGGCGGCCAAAAUGGAACAGUGCGCCGGAGAGGACGCAGACGGGAGGGAGCAGUGGGGAAUGGGAGGCAAUGGUCUGAAGCGUGACAGAGCAGUGGCGCGUGAAAGAUGAAGGGCUUCAGUGCGUAAAACUCUGUUAAGGGGGAAGAACAAAUAUGUAAGGAACUGUGCACAGCCUGAGGGUACCGAAACAGAAAGGAACGGCUAACUACGAG
rnacentral:rRNA from 1 species